rnacentral:rRNA from 1 species
UACGUAGGGGGCAGGCGUUGUCCGGAUUUAUUGGGCGUAAAGAGCGUGUAGGCGGCCUGAAAGGUCAGCUGUGAAAACUCGAGGCUCAACCUCGAGACGUCGGUUGAAACCAUCUGGCUAGAGUCCGGAAGAGGAGAGUGGAAUUCCUGGUGUAGCGGUGAAAUGCGCAGAUAUCAGGAAGAACACCCGUGGCGAAGGCGGCUCUCUGGGACGGUACUGACGCUGAGACGCGAAAGCGUGGGGAGCGAACAGG